rnacentral:lncRNA from 1 species
GUCAAAAGAGUCCUCAGAAGUGUCCUGAGCGGUCGCAGGGUAAUGACGUCGGCCGUAUCGGGGAUGCUGGAACCUGCGGUUGAGUGAGAAACCGGCGCCACCGCCUGCGUCUUGGUCUCGGGCUGGUGGCCAGCGGGGUCUGGGCGUGGUUUUACCCAGCUCCUUUGCGAAGCUGCUGUCCUUUCCUCAACGUUACCACCCGGCUGGGCAGCCUACCCUCGCAGCAACAGGUGUGCACCUUCCAAGCUUGCAACAGACCACAUUCAGAAGCUUGAUUUCUUGUUGUUCUGGGAAUAUCUGGAUCAGAGGUAACAUGGUUCACUAGGACUCCUCAGCUUCACCCAGUGUCCAUUUCACCUCCCCCGGCCUUCCAAUGUCUCUUCUUGCAGAUUUCUCCAAGCCACUCUCCCCGUCAUCUCCUCCACCCCCAGGACCCAACUCCUGCCCCUCCCACCCUAGCCCCUGUUCUCCCUGCCCACCUCCUACCCCACUGGAGUGGCCUUUCAUCAAACCUAAACCAAAGAAACCAACAGACCUUGCUGUCACCACUACUCCGGGACCUGGAAGUUAAAGCGAGGGAGAGACGGUGAAACACAGAAAGCAGAACGCCUUCUGUUCUUCCACAACACAGGGUUUGUGGACGUGGCCACUAUAAGAACUCGCACUGCGUGCUGAUUAUACUCCUCAGCACAAUUCAUUUCUUAAACUUUUUAGAAUAAUUUAAAAUUUACAAAAAGUUGCAAAAAUAAAAACCAGUAAACUUUUCACC